CUGGUGUCAGCCGCCGCGGUAAUACCAGCACCCCGAGUGGUCGGGACGAUUAUUGGGCCUAAAGCAUCCGUAGCCGGCCUUACAAGUCCCCCGUUAAAUCCAGCUGCUUAACAGAUGGGCUGCGGAGGAUACUAUAAGACUAGGAGGCAGGAGAGGCAAGCGGUACUCAGUGGGUAGGGGUAAAAUCCGUUGAUCCAUUGAAGACCACCAGUGGCGAAGGCGGCUUGCCAGAAUGCGCUCGACGGUGAGGGAUGAAAGCUGGGGGAGCAAACCGGAUUAGAUACCCGGGUAGUCCCAGCUGUAAACGAUGCAGACUCGGUGAUGGACUAGCUUUAUGCUGGUCCAGUGCCGCAGGGAAGCCGUUAAGUCUGCCGCCUGGGUAGUACGGUCGCAAGACUGAAACUUAAAG
rnacentral:rRNA from 2 species